UCCUGAACUUACCAACUGAAGGCCUCAAAAGUAUAACCGGCAGCUUCCCCAACUCGUCGUUAAUCAAUCCCUCACUCAACGCUUUUGUAAACGCUCUUGAUGACAUUCAAAGGACUCGCCGGAGGUGCAUACGGCUUCUCAUACAGGAUCCUCUCAUGCAAAUGGCAGUAAGCAGUAGACACUUCCGCGCACGUUGAGCAGCACAGCGCUUUUUAACGGUUGAUCAAAGCGUACGGUGGCAGCGCAGUGGAAUACAAAGUGUACAUCGUCAAUAAUUAUCUGGCGAUCUUUAUCGGAGAGACCCAUGCCCAACAGACUUACAUCACCUUCGAUUGGGACGACUUUAUCGAAGAUACUUUGGGUUUUCAUGUUGCGUAACAUGUCGAAGAGCUGCACAUAAAAUUUAAGGGUUUAAGCAGUUUUACUAAGAGAUUUUAAGCAGUUUCCACGUUUUUUAAACUGACUUAAGUUAAGUAAGUUAAGUGAAGUUAAGUUUUUUUAUGCGCGUGUAUGACUUCUCGACUUGUCUUUUGUUGAAUGAGCCCACUUGGGCUUGCCUCGAUUUCGUCAAUUUCUCCUUCCUUGGUGAAAGAAAAAAUCUUACUUUUCGCACUUCGCCACGCAUUGCGCUUGAUAUUGAUCCGUGAAGCCGGUGUAAUGCUUGUGUACGCAUGCGUGUUUACUUUCGGCCGUUUUUUUCGUCAUACCAAACAUUACUACAUUACUUAACGCACUUAACUGUUGCAUUACUUAACUUAAGUCAAUUGUACACACACUUUACUCUACUUGAUUCAACACUACAGCAUAUUUAAAUCAAGGUAUAUCAUAACCUAACCUUACUUAACUCAACUUUACUUAACUUUACUUAAGUUAAGUAAGGUUAGGUUGGAAUAAGUUGAGUUAAUUUUAUAAUUUUGUUAUAACAAUAAAAUUAUUGAUGUUAUCUUUGACAUGCUAACAUAGUUUAUGGGCCAUAAAAUAAGUAUUGUGGUUAUUUAUUAAACAAUAGUUGGCAAUACGUCGUUAAAUCAUUAGGUGAUGCAAAAACGUUUAUAUUUGUUUAUAUUGUUUAUAACUAGUACA